rnacentral:rRNA from 1 species
AACCAGUAAGUUAAGUUAUAUAUCUUGGUAAAAAGACAGUUAGACAGAAAUUAGCCUAUCGAUUGCUUCUAUAAAAGUAAAAUUUAAUAUAGGUACAAUAGAAUGAUAAUGGCUUUAUUGUUGAAUCUGUGAUAUCUUUGAGGGAAACUGGGAUUGGAUACCCCAUUAUUCUUAGGUGUAAAUAAAGAAAUUUACCAGAGUACUACAAAUAAAAUAAUUUAAAACUCAAAGAGCUUGGCGGUAUUUUAGACCACUUAGGGGAACCUGUCUCGUAAUCGACAAUCCGCGUUAAACCUUACCUUUUUUAGUGAUCAGCUUGUAUACCGUUGUCAUCAGGUAACUUUUAAAGAAAAAAGAAGUUAGCUAAAAAAUUUUUUGAUUAAGAUGUCAAAUCAAGGUGCAGCUUAUAAAAAGGAGAAGAUGGGUUACAAUUAUAAAUUAUAAUACGAAUAUGCAUACUGCAAAGAGCUUGAAGGAGGACUUAAAAGUAAAUCUAUAUAUGUAAAUAGAUUGAACAAGGCUCUAAAAUGUGC